rnacentral:rRNA from 1 species
CAAAGGAAGUUGACGGGGCCCGCACAAGCGGUGGAGCAUGUGGUUUAAUUCGAUGCAACGCGAAGAACCUUACCUGGGCUUGACAUCCCGGGAAUCCCCUGGAACAGGGAGUGCCCUUCGGGAACCCGGUGACAGGUGCUGCAUGGCUGUCGUCAGCUCGUGUCGUGAGAUGUUGGGUUAAGUCCCGCAACGAGCGCAACCCUUGUCUUUAAUUGCCAUCAUUUAGUUGGGCACUUUAGCGAGACUGCCGGUAAUAAACCGGAGGAAGGUGGGAUGACGUCAAAUCAUCAUGCCCCUUAUGACCUGGGCUACACACGUGCUACAAUGGUUGGUACAACGAGUUGCGAGUCGGUGACGGCGAGCUAAUCUCUUAAAGCUAAUCUCAGUUCGGAUUGUAGGCUGCAACUCGCCUACAUGAAGUCGGAAUCGCUAGCAAUCGCGGAUCAGCACGCCGCGGUGAAUACGUUCCCGGGCCUU